GCUUACGGCCAUACCACCCUGAAUGCGCCCGAUCUUGUCUGAUCUCGGAAACUAAGCAGGUUCAGGCCUGGUUAGUACUUGGAUGGGAGACCGCCUGGGAAUACCAGGUGCUGUAUUCC
rnacentral:rRNA from 1 species